GUGCUCACGUUAGCAGCACAUAUGCUAAAACUGGAACAAUACAGAGAAGAUCAGCAUGACCCCUAAGCAAGAAUGAAAUGCAAAUUCAUGAGGCAUUCCACAUUAAA